UACGUAGGCAGCAAGCGUUGUUCGGAGUUACUGGGCGUAAAGGGUGCGUAGGCGGCCCUGUAAGUAUGGUGUGAAAUCUCCCGGCUUAAACUGGGGAGGGUGCGCUAUAGACUGCGGGGCUCGAGUGUGGGAGAGGAAAGUGGAAUUCCUGGUGUAGCGGUGAAAUGCGUAGAUAUCGGGAGGAACACCUGUGGCGAAAGCGGCUCACUGGACC
rnacentral:rRNA from 1 species